rnacentral:rRNA from 1 species
UUGCCCUCAGUAGCGGCGAGUGAGCGGCAGAGCUCAGAUUUGAAUCGUGCUUUGCGGCACGAGUUGUAGAUUGCAGGUUGGAGUCUGUGUGGAAGGCGGUGUCCAAGUCCCUUGGAACAGGGCGCCCAGGAGGGUGAGAGCCCCGUGGGAUGCCGGCGGAAGCAGUGAGGCCCUUCUGACGAGUCGAGUUGUUUGGGAAUGCAGCUCCAAGCGGGUGGUAAAUUCCAUCUAAGGCUAAAUACUGGCGAGAGACCGAUAGCGAACAAGUACUGUGAAGGAAAGAUGAAAAGCACUUUGAAAAGAGAGUGAAACAGCACGUGAAAUUGUUGAAAGGGAAGGGUAUUGCGCCCGACAUGGGGAUUGCGCACCGCUGCCUCUCGUGGGCGGCGCUCUGGGCUUUCCCUGGGCCAGCAUCGGUUCUUGCUGCAGGAGAAA